AUCUAAAUAGUUUAAAUAUAAAAUGUUGAUUUGUGGUGUCAGUGAUGUAUUAGUAUAUACUUUAGAUU
rnacentral:tRNA from 1 species